GAUGGGUUUGCCCUCCUAUCCCACGCGUCCAUCAUCGCUGCACCUUCUACUUCGACUUCCGCUUCUUGACUUUUCUGCUGUAUUCCGCUUUCUCUCAUCCAAAAAAAUAAAAGAUCGUUGCUUCUCCUACCCUCUCUCUCUCUCAUUUUCUUUACUAGGAUUGCUGCGUGCUUCAGAUUGGUUUCUGGAAAUCGGAGGAACCGAUGAAAUUGGCGUCUGGAUUUCGAGGGGAGGCUGAAUUCUUUAAUGUUUCUGAUGAGAUGGAAAAAUAUCAAAGUAAGGAAGAAGUAGCUCUUGGUCGUGGGAAGCGCCUGCGGAAAACUGUUUCACAAGGAAGCAUAUGCUGCACACCUAACUGAAACAUUGAGUGAGGUACUCAAGUAUAGCUUUGGUUUCAUUAACCUUUUGGGUUAUUAAAUUUGUAUGCUCUGAUUGUUUUGCAAUUUGAGUUUGGAUUGGAAUUUAAUUUUGGUUUACAAAUUUUUGAUAAAACCUCAAAAAGAAAUUUAGGAACGCGUUUCUUUUUUUUUUUGGUCUUCUUUCUUCUGAUUUUUUGGGUUUUCAUUUGGGAUAUUUUCUGAACAUGCUCCAUUUAUUUUACGCUUGGUUUCGUAUACCCUGCAGCAGUCAAAUAAAUAACCUUACAGAACCAGAAGCCAUUGAAAUGGCGAGUGGUAUAUAUGUUUAUUUCUAUGUUUUCAAAUCUGGGUUUUAGAUAUUUUUCUUUGUUUUGGUUAAUUAUGGAAUUUUGGCUCCUAAUUUCUUAAAACUUUAGAAUUUUUUUUUUUUUGCUAUUUAGUGUGAGAAUAUGGGUCCAAUAUUGGAUUCUUCCAAUUUCUAGGCAGAGAAAACAGGGUGGUGACAAUAGAGAAUUCCAACUUCUUUGUGGUGGAAAUCAUAGUUUCAUUUUAGAUUUUCCUUUGGGUUUAUGAAAUGAGUUGGAAUGAUGUCUCAUGAUUAUGUGAAUUUUUUUUUAAUUUAGUUGUGAACCUAAUAAUCUAAUCGUGUCUCAUCUCUCAUGAUUAUGUGAAUAUUAAUAAAUUUAGUUGUGAACCAGAACCUGGGUAUCAACCAAGGACUGGUAUCAAUCCCAGAAGGUCAUGUUGGGGUAUAUUGGAGAGGAAGCGCUCUUCUGAAGACAAUUAUAGAUCCAGGGUGAUGUGCAUUGAGAAGUUGCUUGCAUAGGGCCUUAAAUUUGCCUGCUUCUCAUUAUUUCAAAUUUCAAGUUUUCAUCUCAAUCUGCCUGUGGUCACCCAUUUUGAACCUGUUCAAGUGACCCUGCAGACUGAUCAUGUAACUUUGGUAAUCCAUGUUUGAAAGAUUGAGGAUUCUGUCUUUCCAUUCAUUAUAGUUUUAAAGGCUUCUGUUAGCAACAUUGUAGGCAAGGGAUAUUCCAUAUGGUACGAAAGGGGGUGUCAUGAUCAAUUUUGAGAAGAUUGAGUUAAGGCUAUACGAUAUUAUUCUUUAGUAUUUGUAUAGUAGUUUCACUUAGUUGAAGGUUUGAAAAACUCCAUUUAAUAAAUCCAAAAUGUGUAUUCCCUUAGGAGCCGUUUGAUAACCAUUUAGUUUUAGUUUCAAGUUUUUGUUUAGAUUUAUUUUUGGGCAUUUACGAUAACUUUACUUUAGUAUAUGUAGAUUUAAUAUUACAAUUUAGUAUUAAUUUAUAUAUUAUCUUCUUCUUAGGUUCUUCAAGCAUUUAGCUUCUUAGAAUAUCAUUUUUGAAAAAAGCUGGAGUUGUGCAUUUUAUAGUGUGGCCUAACUUCCUUUUCAUUGAAGUGAGAUUUUUGAGAGGGACUGGUAGAUCUCUGAAAAUGAACUUGGUGGAAAUUCCUUAUUACACUGUUCUGUCUCAAAAGUUGUGAAUUAUAUGCAGAUGGUUGACAAAUUGGAUGAUGAAACCAUGGCAAUAGAAUUUGGUCCACCUGAUUUUACUGAGGCCCAUAAGGAUGUUGGAAGAGCCCUCUUCCAAGCACAUGUUGAGGGUCAACUAAAGAAACUUGGUUGCAAGGCAAGUUGGAAAGGCACAAAAGUUUGAUCGCGUCUUAUAGAAAUAGAAAUGCCAGAGAAGGUCAUUUCCAUUUCGUGCAAAAUCAAACUUCUUUCCGCACACAAAAACACUAGAUUUGUACCUAUUUUGGAUUCGAUUGGGAUUUGGUUGGAAUCGAUCUAAUCCAGCGUUUCCAAGUCAGUUUUGCUCGGACGACGAGCCUGUGGCUCAUUCCCUUGAGAGGGACAAGUCCGAAACGGGGAGUAUUGAGAGCAUUGGAGGAGGAGAAGGAGGAGGAGGAGAAGACGAAGAGGAAGAGCCAGUGGACGAGCCCGACGAUCCCAUGGAGGAAGACGAUGUCAACCCCGCCGUCGUCUUCUGCAUCAGGCUGAAGCACCCCAGGUCCAAUUUGCAGCACAAGAUGAGCGUCCCCUAACUUUGUCGCAAUUUUAGAUGUGAAGAGGAUUUGUGAAGUUGCUGUGAUUUCAUGGUACUCAUGUUCAGUUUUUAGAUUUGAUUUGAAGGAAUUUCUAGGGUUUAUUGUGGUCUUCAUUUUUUGGGGCUAUUGUGCGUAGGCUUCCAAGCUGUUUGUGCUUGAGAUGGUUGACAAAUUGGAUGAUGAAACCAUGGCAAUAGAACUUGGUCCACCUGAUUUUAAAGAGGCCCUAUAAGGUAAUAUGCUCUGCCUCAAUUUUACAGAGCUCUUACAUUAGUAUUUUCUUGCUCCUUUUUAACUCUUGACAUGAUUUCAGGAUGUUGGAAGAGCCCUCUUACGAGCACAUGUUGAGAGUCAACUAAGGGUUAACAGAUUUGUAUAUUUAUUAUUUGUCCAUUGAAUAAGAAUCAGAAAAUGGUUCAUGAACACAAAAUGAUUUUGGCAUAUGUACAGAAUGAGAUAAUGUUUAAGCCUGACCUGUUUGUGGCGCCUCAUUUAGAAUUGCCACUUUUGCUUUUGGAUCAAAUGACGUAUGUUGUAUAGCAUCUUAUCUUUGCACAACAUGUCGCUAUUAUUUAACUCCGAAUGGAUCUCAUUUUUUUCAAUAAUUAGAAUUUGGGGAAUUUACUUGGACUUAUUUUUACGUUAGGCUGGUGAAGGGAUUUUGCUCUUAUCAACUCAGAUUAUCAUUACACAAACAAAAUGAUGCAUCAUUGUUCACAUAUUUCUUCCUGAUGAGAUGGGUUGGAAGGAUCGAGCUGGCAACCACUGUUCAGUAGUCAAAGCACUACAUUUUUGAAGUACAUCAGUAAAAUAGGAUCAACAACUCUUUAUAUGUAUAUUGGAGUUAGUGAACAACUACUAUAUAUUUUAUGUAAAUACUUUGUACAUGUUUUAGGUUUAUAGUUUUUAGUUUUACAUAUUUAUGCACAAUGCUUUUAGUCCCUUAUUCUAACACUUGCUUACAUUACUUAUAAUCCAUUUGACAUUAUUUGGAGCUCAUGGUUUUAUAGAAAGGAUAUAUGUGCUGACAUGAACGCAUGCAUAUAGUAUUUCCUCUUCAAUUAAAGAUAGAAAUUCCUAAACGAUAAGAUAUAUUAUGAAUGCAUGCAUAUAUUAUUACCUAGCAAGAUACUAGAACACAUUUAAUGGCAUUUAAUUUUGUCUAUCAAGAAACUAGAAACUAGAAGACAUUGAAUACCAUUAGAAAUUUAAGAUGCAUUACCUUCUUUUCGUAUAAUAUUUUGAAGUUCUUUUUGAGUCGGUAAAAAAUUUAUUUUGUGGACAAUUUUUCGAUGAAAUAUGAUUAAGUAUAAUACUUUCCGAGUUAUUUUGUUUCGAGUCAGAGUAAUUGGAUUUUUCAUGUGGUAGAAAGGAAUUAGAAUUUUGCAUGAAUAGAAUUAUUUGUUUUCACAUUCCAAAUUGAAUGUAGUGUGUUUUAUAUAUUGUUGUAUUAGUUGCAAGGAAAUAAAAUGUUUAUGCAUAUUAUUAUGAAUUUAAUAUAUUUUCACUUAUUUAAAAACAGAGAUUAAUUGUAAAUAUAAUACCUACAAUAUUUAACGUAGCUUUUUUCUCAAUGUCAUUUUCCAAUGCUUAACGUUUGCUUUUGUUUAUGCAUUUGAUUGAAGUGUUAUUUCAUAUUUUAACGCUUUUAAUUGAUUCAUGUUUAUGUUUGAAUCAGGAAAAAAACAUUGCUAAUGGUGAACCGGUGAUGAUGCAACGUUGAUAUGCUUCUGUGUCGAUUUGGCUUCAGUUAUUUGUAAAGAAACGUUGCUGAUGGUGUACCUGUGACGAUGCAACGUUGAUAUACUUCUGUGUCAAUUUGGCGUCAGUUAUUUGGCAAGUUGGAAAAUCACCAAAGUUUGAUCGCGUCCUAUAGCAUUGCUAGAGAAGGUCAUCUCCAUUCGUGCAAAAUCAGACUUCUUUCUGCAAACAAAAACAUUAGUUUUUGACUCAAACAUUGUUUUUGAGCUCUGUGAUAAAAACCUGGACUGGCGUUAAUCUAGCAGAGCUCGGCCGUGGAGAGUCCCAACCCCAAUCCCUAUCCAACACCCAGUCACCCGCUCAGUCUCAACCCUAGUCUCACAAAUUGGCUCGUCGGAGUCGACUGAAAACCGUCGGAGUUGACUGAAAGCCGUUGGCGAACAACCGUCAUCACUGCAAAGCCGCCACCACACCCACCGGUGACGAAGCGGCGAUGCUCUUCUUUUUCGGCUUCCCGGAAAGAAAAUUUUCUGUUUGUUUCUCAGGAAAAUUGGGAUGGAAAUUUGGGAUUUGAUCUUCAUCUUGUUUGAAAUUUGAAGCUUUAUUUAUGUGCAAUUUAAAGUUUGGAGAGAGAGAAAGAGAUGGAAUGCGGGACGAGGGACUGGAAGAAGGGGUGGGCGGAGCAUCUCCUCCUUUGAGGUUUCGUAUUUCAUAUUUUUAGGAAUAUCAGAAGGGUGGAGGUUUCAUUUUUUUCACCUUAGUUUUUAAUAUUUAAUUAUUUUUACUAGGAAAUUUUAUUUGAACUCAUAUAACUUCUUUCUACAUUUAAUUUACUCUUUACACCCA